rnacentral:tRNA from 1 species
GCCCGCGUAGCUCAGCUGGUAGAGCAAGGCAUUCGUAAUGCCUAGGUCAGUGGUUCGAAUCCACCCGCGGGCUCCA